UGUAAUGGCAGGUUGGAAUGUAUACUCUGAAUACAAAGAGCUUCAUUUAAAUUCUGACAUUCACUGAAGUCUUCAAAUUCAUUUUUGAUCUGCAGGUCUCCACAGUCUUGUAAUGGAAAUGUUAAGUCACGUCCUCACCCGGUGAUUGAGCACCUGGUAGGAAAGCAGGGCCAAGCCAGGGGAGCUCAGCUGCAUGCAAUGUGUCUGACUAGAAUGGGUAGAGCCAGGAUCCACCCCUCCCCAGACCUCAUUUAAGGGUUGGCAGCGGAGCUGAGAGCGUCUUAUCUAGUGACUGCUGUGUACACAAGGACCUUAUAGAUCUUCUGAAGUUCUCAGAGACGUUACAGGAGAUUCAGACUUUUUUCCAGCACUUCUGAGCUUUCCUAGGUGUAUUCCUAAGUGAAGAGAGCAACUUUAUUCCCUGUUCCUUUAUUGAUACACAGG